rnacentral:rRNA from 1 species
GCAUAAAUGAUUUUUGGAUUCGGAGCGAGUGGCGAACUGGUGAGUAACACGUGGGUAACCUGCCCCGAAGCGGGGGAUAACAUUUGGAAACAAGUGCUAAUACCGCAUAAUUAGUUGGAACCGCAUGGUUCCAACUUGAAAGAAGGCUCUGCUAUCACUUUGGGAUGGACCCGCGCCGUAUUAGUUAGUUGGUGAGAUAAAAGCCCACCAAGACGAUGAUACGUAGCCGACCUGAGAGGGUAAUCGGCCACAUUGGGACUGAGACACGGCCCAGACUCCUACGGGAGGCAGCAGUAGGGAAUCUUCCACAAUGGACGAAAGUCUGAUGGAGCAACGCCGCGUGAGUGAUGAAGGUUUUCGGAUCGUAAAACUCUGUUGUUAAAGAAGAACAAGUGUUAGAGUAACUGUUAACACUUUGACGGUAUUUAACCAGAAAGCCACGGCUAACUACGUGCCAGCAG